UACGUAGGGUGCGAGCGUUGUCCGGAAUUAUUGGGCGUAAAGGGCUCGUAGGCGGUUUGUCACGUCGGGAGUGAAAACCCAGGGCUCAACCCUGGGCCUGCAUUCGAUACGGGCAGACUAGAGUACGGCAGGGGAGACUGGAAUUCCACGUGUAGCGGUGAAAUGCGUAGAGAUGUGGAGGAACACCAGUGGCGAAGGCGACUUUCUGGGCUGUAACUGACGCUGAGGCGCGAAAGCGUGGGGAGCAAACAGG
rnacentral:rRNA from 1 species